CCUACGGGAGGCAGCAGUGAGGAAUAUUGGUCAAUGGGCGCUAGCCUGAACCAGCCAAGUAGCGUGAAGGAUGACUGCCCUAUGGGUUGUAAACUUCUUUUAUAUGGGAAUAAAGUGCAGUAUGUAUACUGCUUUGCAUGUACCUUAUGAAUAAGGAUCGGCUAACUCCGUGCCAGCAGCCGCGGUAAUACGGAGGAUCCGAGCGUUAUCCGGAUUUAUUGGGUUUAAAGGGAGCGCAGGCGGGUUGUUAAGUCAGUUGUGAAAGUUUGGGGCUCAACCGUAAAAGUGCAGUUGAAACUGGCAGCCUUGAGUACAGUAGAGGUAGGCGGAAUGCGUGGUGUAGCGGUGAAAUGCUUAGAUAUCGCGAAGAACUCCGAUUGCGAAGGCAGCGUGCUGGACUGUAACUGACGCUGAGGCACGAAAGUGUGGGUAUCAAACAGGAUUAGAUACCCGAGUAGUC
rnacentral:rRNA from 1 species